GAUAAGAGCUAUCUUUGCAAAGUUUGUUUAUGCAGGUCCAUUUCGGUGCAGCCUUCCAUCUCCUUCAAGGCCAUAAAACUUCCCCAGGAAAAGGGAUUUACGGCAGUCUUCAUUUCUCAGAAGUUUCUGCUUUUAGUCAGAUAAGGGAUGCUUAGGGAAACCUUCUUUCUGCAUCUGUUGAAUCUCAAAUGCCUUCAGCUCAAAAUAAUCCUUCUGCUACAGAACAUAUUUUGAGGUGGUAUAUUCUGAUUCCCCACUCUCCCUCGUCCCCUAGCAUGGUCUUCUUGACUUUGACUUGCGCCCUGUGCUGGGUGUUCAGUUUGUCUCCUGGGCCAUUCUCCACUCUUCUCUGCCCUACUUUGUGCUCCCAGAGGCUGACCUGUAGGAAGGCAUCAAAGGUUCAUUGCCCUCUGACUUCCAAUUGGGUUUGGCACUGGCAGGAAAAGAAAGGGAAGGAGUAGAGACAACUUGGAGCACGAGCUUGGGGUAUUUAUUCUCCAAGUUCCCUCCCUGUGGAGUCCCCAAGUGUUGGCUGCAUUUCAUUGCAAAAGAUGUUAGCUCAAAUAAGGCAGUCCUCCCCACAGUUCUGUCUCCCCAGUUUCAGUAACCCACCCCCUCAUCUGCCCCUAAAGGCUUAGGAGUGGUAAUGGAGCCCUACUAUUACUAAUCUAGGGUUCUGCACUAUGCCUUGCAGUUUCCCUACACUCUGCCCACGCCUUUGUAAAUAGUUUCUUUAUGAAACUCUG
rnacentral:lncRNA from 1 species